UCGCCCGCGCGCGCGGCGGGCUACGGGAGGCAGCAGUGGGGAAUAUUGCACAAUGGGCGCAAGCCUGAUGCAGCCAUGCCGCGUGUAUGAAGAAGGCCUUCGGGUUGUAAAGUACUUUCAGCGGGGAGGAAGGUGUUGUGGUUAAUAACCGCAGCGAUUGACGUUACCCGCAGAAGAAGCACCGGCUAACUCCGUGCCAGCAGCCGCGGUAAUA
rnacentral:rRNA from 1 species